rnacentral:snRNA from 1 species
UAAUGUGAGGGCGAUCUGGCUGUGACGUCUGUCACCCCAUCAGUGGUGAGGGUUGAUUCGGCUGACAUGGCUGCCUAAGCUCAUGUCCCCUUCUUCCCUCACUGCUCCACGUGCGUCCCUCCCAAAGAUGUGUCUGGGUCGAAGAAGACGACCUUCCCCGAUAGAGAAGGACCAUUCUUCAGUCAGGGGUAUAUGAGUAGCUCUGAUCCCAGGUAGAACCUCCAAACAAGCUUUAAAUUAUCCCGAAACUAAUAGGCAUACAGCAACAAACACUUAUCAGCUCACAUUUUCUGAGGGUCAAGAAAGUGAGUGUGGCU